AUACGUAGGGUCCAAGCAUUAUCCGGAUUGACUGGGUGUAAAGAGUUGCGUAGGUGGCAGGGUAAGUAGAUAGUGAAAUCUGGUGGCUCAACCAUUCAGACUAUUAUCUAAGCUGCUCCGCUCGAGAAUGUUAGGGGUAGCUGGAAUUUCUAGUGUAGGAGUGAAAUCCGUAGAUAUUAGAAAGAACACCGAUAGCGUAGGCAGGCUACUGGGACAUUUCUUACACUAAGGCACGAAAGCGUGGGGAGCAAACGGGAUUAGAUACCCCGGUAGUCCACGCUGUAAACGAUGGAUGCUAGCAGUUUUCGGUAUCGACCCCGAGAGUUGCGAAGCUAACGCGUUAAGCAUCCCACCUGUGUAGUACGAUCGCAAGAUUAAAACUUAAAGGAAUUGACGGGG
rnacentral:rRNA from 1 species